rnacentral:pre_miRNA from 1 species
AGUGCAGUUGCUGGAUCAUAUGGUAAGCCUACGCUUAGCUUUGUAAGAAAUCGUCAGACUGUCUUCCAAAGUGGCUGCACCAUUUUGCAUUCCCGGCAGCAAU